rnacentral:rRNA from 1 species
AAAUUGAAGAGUUUGAUCAUGGCUCAGAUUGAACGCUGGCGGCAGGCCUAACACAUGCAAGUCGAACGGUAACAGGAAGAAGCUUGCUUCUUUGCUGACGAGUGGCGGACGGGUGAGUAAUGUCUGGGAAACUGCCCGAUGGAGGGGGAUAACUACU